rnacentral:lncRNA from 1 species
UUUUUUUUUUUUUUUUUUUGUCUUUUUUGUUGUUGUUGCUAUUUCUUGGGCCGCUCCCACAGCAUAUGGAGGUACCCAGGCUAGGGGUUGAAUUGGAGCUGUAGCCACCGGCCUACGCCAGAGUCACAGCAACGCGGGAUCCGAGCCGCGUCUGCAACCUACACCACAGCUCACGGCAACGCCGGAUCCUUAACCCACUGAGCAAGGGCAGGGACCGAACCCGCAACCUCAUGGUUCCUAGUCGGAUUCGUUAACCACUGCGCCACGACGGGAACUCCCAUUUUACACUUUCAUCAGCAGUGCACAAAAGAUCCAAUUUUUCCACAUCCUUGCUAACAUUUUUUUUUUUAAUAAUGGCCAUGUUAAUAUGAGUGAAGUAGUAUUUCAUUGUGGUUUUCAUUUUCAUUUCCCUAAUGACUAGUGAUCUUGAGCAUCUCUUCUUGUAUUUAUUAGUUAUUUUUACAUCUUCUCCAGGGAAAUGUCUAUUCAAGUCUUCUGCUCAUUUUUAAACCGAGUUUUCUUUUUUGGUUGUUGUCAUAGUUCUUGAUCUAUUCUGGAUCUUAAUCCCUUAUUAGAUACAUGACUUGUAAAUAUUUUCUAUUUUGUAGAUUGUUUUUUCACUCAGUUGAUAGUGUCCUUUGAUACAAAAGUUUUAAAUUUUGACGAAGUCCAGUUUAUUUUUUUGUUGUAUCCAACUUUUCUUUUGGAUAUCCAGUUUACCCAAAACUAUUUACUGAGAACACUACUCUUUUCCAAGUUAAUAGUCUUGGCAUAUUUGUUGAAAAUCAUUUCAACAUACAUGCAAGGGUUUAUUUCUGGGCCUGCAGUUUCUUCCAUUUGGUCUGUAUGUCUUUAUGCCAGUAUCAUGCUUCUUGAUGACCACAGUUUUAUAUUGUUUUAAAAUCAAGAGUUGUAAUAGGAGUUCCUGCUGUGGCGCAAGAGGACUUGUGGUGUCUCUGGAGCCCUGGGACACAGGUUCGAUCCUUUAGGUCGCAAUUAUGGCUUGGGCUUGAUCCCUGGCUUGGGAACCCCAUAUGCUGUGGGGCAGCCAAAAAAGAAAAAUAAUUGUGAGAUGUUCAACACUGUUCUUUUUCAGCACUGUUUUGGCUAUCUGAUGUCAUUUGGGACUCCAUAUGAAUUUUAAGAUAUAUUUCCUCUUUGUGCAAAGAAAGUCACUGAGAUUUUGAUAGGGGUUGCACUGGAUCUAUAGAUCAUUUUGGGUGGCAUUUCCACCUUAACAAUAUUAAGACUCUCAGCACAUGAAUAUGGGAUGUCUUUCCAUUUAUUUGUGCUUUCUUUCUUUUAGCAAUGUUAUGUAGUUUGCAGUAUGCAAGUCUUUCACCAUCAUGGCUAAUUUUAUUGCUAAGUAUUUUAUUUUUUUGAUGCUAAUGUAAAUGGUAAAAAAAUUUUUUUUGGCUGCACCUAUAGCAAGUGGAAGUUCUCAGAUCAGGGAUGGAACCCAUGCCACAGCAGCGGCCUGAGCCACAGCAGUGACAACGCCAGAUCUUUAACCCAUUGAGCCACUAGGAGACUCCUGGAAUUAUUUCUUAAUUUCCUUUCUGGAUUAUUCAUUGUUAGGGUAAGACAUGCAACUGAUUUUUGAGUGCUUAUUUUGUAUCCUACAACUAUGCUGAUUUCGCUUAUUUAAUUGCAAGAGGCUUUGUGUGUGUGUAAAAUCAAGGUUUUUCUACACAUAAAAUCACAUCACCUAUGAACAGAAAUAAUUUUACUUUAUAAAUCUUUCAGACUUAAAAUUGAUUUAUAGCUGUCUAGCAAUCUUGGUCCAUUCAUUCUUUCAUUCUUCUAGAAGUACAUCAGAGAAGUGUUUAUUCCCGCUCUCCAAACUUGUACUAUCUCUCCUUUCAUCCUUUUACUGAGAAAACGAAAGCUAACAGAAGAGAAUUCCUGCCAAUUUCCACCACACAUAUCCACACAUAUCUACACACUGUGCCCAUAUAACUCCUUCUUUGUAUGACAGAUGAACAAUUACUGUUCAGAAGACCGAACUCUUUCCUUGUAUAUUAGAUUUUAUCCCCUCUUGCUUACUUAAGGAUAUUCCUAUAGCGUUCUCCCUUGUAUCUUUAAUAUUUUCUUCUUUACUGAAUCAUUCCUAUCAGCAAAUAUGUUCUAAUUUCUCUCACCUUAAUUUCAUCUCUUAAACACUAUCACUUUACCUGAUAAUAUUGCAAUUUUAUCACUGAUAUUUUAAUAAACACCCUCAGAGAAAGGUUUUUUUCCCUACUUUUGUUUUUUAAAACAAUUUUUAAAUUAUAGUUGAUUUACAAUGCUGUUUUCUAUUUUUAACUCAGAUAAUUAAAAAUCACUGCUUCCUAUUUGAAAGCCUGACAAAUUUAAAAUAUUAGAAAACAUUUAUUUCCACACACCAGAAAAAAAUGGAAAUGCUUGAUUUAAUGUAUUAACUGAAAGAUUCUAAGGGCAGCAAUUUCAGCCAGAUAGAAAAGGUACAUCUCUCUUUAUCUAUGUUCACCAACAACAAUAAUCGUUCAGGCUGGUAAGCUUUGAUUUUUCCUUUACAUUAUAAUGAUCUUCAAAGCCAAACUAGGUUUUAUGUUAAGCUUUCAAGAAGUGGUUAUUUUAUUUACUUUGGCCAUGCCUAUGACACACAGAAGUCCCCAGGCCAGGGAUUUAACCCACACCACAGCAGUGACAACAAUGGAUCCUUAACCCACUGAGCCACCAGGGAACUCCACAAUGUGGUUAUUUCAAAGUCAAAAUUUCUUUUCUUUUUUUUUUUUUUUUUGGUCUUUUUGUCUUUGUUGUUGUUGCUGUUUCUUGGGCUGCUCCCGCGGCAUAUGGAGGUUCCCAGAAAAGGCAAAAAACAAAACAAAACUACUUACUGCACUCAGUGGCUAAUCUAUGAUCAUAAGGUCACUCCUUGACACACAUUAUUUUAUGCCUCACUAAUGAAAUGAUAUGAGGUAGUGUAAAAGAAGCAUCUGAAGCCUUAGCUUUCAUUCAAAGCAGGCCAUUCCUUAGCAUUAAGAACAGAAACAGUUGCACUUGAUUUUCGUCUAUUUAGAGAUGGAAAUGAAUCUUUUUGGUAACUGACUUUAGGGUCUCAAAUUCAGGGAAAUUUAGGUAAAUCUUUUGCAUUUUACCUUGACGUUGAUUAUGAGUUUUUCUAGAGAUAUAAUAUUAAUCUCAGCUAACCUAUUAGUUAUUCCCUUAGAAUUUAUAAUUUUCUCAAGUUCAAUUAUCAGGGUAAAAAUGUUUCUUAUUCUAAGAGGUGUGCAUGUGUAUACAUAAAAGGAGGAGGUUUUUCCCAUCUUAAAGUUUAACAGCUAGAGGGUGUGGGGAAAAGGGAAUCCUCCUGCACUGUUGGUGGGAAUGUAAAUUGGUACAACCACUAUGAAAAACAAUAUGGAGGUCCCUUAGAAAUCUAUACAUAGAACUACUAUAUGACCCAUCAAUCCCCCUCUUGGGCAUAUAUCCGGACAAAACUUUCCUUGAAAAAGACACAUGCACCCGCAUCUUCAUUGCAGCACUAUUCACAGUAGCCAAGGCAUGGAAACAACCUAAACAUCCACCAACAGAUGACUGGAUUAAGAAGAUGUGGUACAUAUACACAAUGGAAUACUACUCAGCCAUCAAGAAGAACAAAAUAAUGCCAUUUGCAGCAACAUGGAUGGAACUACAUACUCUCAUACUGACUGAAGUAAGUCAGAAAGAGAAAGACAAAUACCCUAUGAUAUCACAUAUCUGGAAUCUAAUAUAAGGCACAAAUGAACCUUUCCGCAGAAAAGAAAAUCAUGGACCUGGAAAAUAGACUUGUGGUUGCCAAGGGGGAGGUGGAGGGAGCAGGAUGGAUUGGGAACUUAGGGAUAAUAGAUGCAGACUAUUGCCUUUGGAAUGGAUGAGCAAUGAGAUCCUGCUAUGUAGCACUGGGAACUAUAUCUAGUCACUUAGGAUGGAGCAUGAUAAUGGGAGAAAAAAGAAUCUAUACAUGUAUGUGUAACUGGGUCACCAUGCUGUACAGUAGAAAACUGACAGAACACUGUAAACUAGCUAUAAUGAAAAAAAAUUACAUAUAUAAAAAAAAGUUUUAACAGCUAAAUUUUAAGUAUCUCACAAAGAAGGCUGAAGCAUCAUCUGGUGGAAUGUAAAAACAAAUAAAUGAAAAAACUAUUUCUCAAGUGGAGAAGACACUUCCAAUGUAUAAAACC